rnacentral:tRNA from 1 species
GCGGGCGUGGUUCAACGGCUGAGAAUUCGACCUUGCCAUGGUCGAGAUGCGGGUUCGACCCCUGCCGUCCGCUCCA